UCCUUCAGGUUCCUUACCACUGAGAUCGAAAUAUUGGUCUGAGUGAUUCAAAAAAUGAGGAGAAGUAAAACUGAAUUGCACUUGGGGUCUUCCGUGACAUUCAAGUUCAUUUCAAGCAUGU
rnacentral:snoRNA from 1 species